CCUUAGCUCAGUUGGUAGAGCGGUCGGCUCAUAACCGAUUGGUCGCAGGUUCGAGUCCUGCAGGGCC
rnacentral:tRNA from 1 species